rnacentral:rRNA from 1 species
UACGUAGGGGGCAAGCGUUGUCCGGAAUCAUUGGGCGUAAAGAGCGUGUAGGCGGCCCGAUAAGUCCGCUGUGAAAGUCCAGGGCUCAACCCUGGAAUGCCAGUGGAAACUGUCGGGCUAGAGUCCGGAAGAGGCGAGUGGAAUUCCUGGUGUAGCGGUGAAAUGCGCAGAUAUCAGGAGGAACACCGGUGGCGAAGGCGGAUCUCUGGGCCUUACCUGACGCUGAGGCGCGAAAGCUAGGGGAGCGAACAGG